UAGUUGUGAGGUGGGGUGAGAAUUGCAGCAGCGACAACUAAUCCCCUCACAUCUAAUCCCUCUCCAGCUCCAGCUCAGCUUGUGAAAUGACCAUUAAUGACAAAAACACAUUAAGCAAUUCCCUCAAGGCUCAUUAAGAUUCGAGCUAAACCCACUGUUAUUACCCUUAUUACUCAGAAUAAUGCAAUAUCCUGCGGGUGAAGCCUUGUGAGGGUGGUGCACAUGCAAAACAGAGAGGAAAGAAAUGUAUUUUCAUUUCAUUCUCCUACAGAGAUACAGAGCUUCUCUUACAACAGCUGAACAGGAGGUUCACGAGAGAAAUGCAUUAUCCCAGAAUGGCCAGUUCAUUACUGCUGUCUGUCCUGUGUCUGACACUGCCUGCCACUGUUUCUCCUCAUCAUGGAUAUAAAUUCUCUGCAAGUGACGAGAGGUUCUACUGGCCUCCGUAUCCUGGGUUCCAUCAUUAUCCAAGUGUCCCACCAUCUUGGAUUCCUUGGUUUACUGUGCUUUUUCCUUUUAAUCCUGCCCCCGCCCCGGCUCCUGCCCCGGCUCCUGCCCCGGCUCCUGCCACCACACCUGGUCCAGUGGUCACUCGUGGAGACGGCUAGAAGAUACCAUACAGUAGAUCUGGAUUUCACUUAUAAAAACAAUUAAUUUAAUAGUUUUUACAGAAAAAGGAACAGAAGUAAUGGGAUAGGAUGAUUUCUAAUUAUGAAAAUCAUGCUGUUUUGAAGCAUCAUGAUUAUCAGUAUUGUAAAAUUACAUACACUAAUGGUCAGAUGUUUUACAACGCCCCAGACUACCAGUGCUUUAAUAUAUAUAUAGUGCCCUGUAUAGGCAUGUCUAACAGUCAACCAUCUCUCACUAAGAGGUACACUACCCAAAAAAGUCCUCUCUUAAUCCAGACAUUAGACACCAUGAAGUUUAUGCUCUUUUUGUUUUACAAUACCAAAAUAUUUUUCUAAUUUUAUUCCAAAUCAUGUUAACAUAGUGUU